rnacentral:tRNA from 1 species
ACUUUUUUAAUAUAACAAUUAUAGAUGACUUCCAAUCAUCCAGCCUCAGUAAAACCUGAGAAAAAGUA